AGUGAACGCUGGCGGUAGGCCUAACACAUGCAAGUCGAACGGCAGCACAGUAAGAGCUUGCUCUUACGGGUGGCGAGUGGCGGACGGGUGAGGAAUACAUCGGAAUCUACUUUUUCGUGGGGGAUAACGUAGGGAAACUUACGCUAAUACCGCAUACGACCUACGGGUGAAAGCAGGGGAUCUUCGGACCUUGCGCGAUUGAAUGAGCCGAUGUCGGAUUAGCUAGUUGGCGGGGUAAAGGCCCACCAAGGCGACGAUCCGUAGCUGGUCUGAGAGGAUGAUCAGCCACACUGGAACUUGGACACGGUCCAGACUCCUACGGGAAGGAGCAGUGGGGAAUAUUGGACAAUGGGCGGAAGCCUGAUCCAGCCCUACCGGGUGGGUGAAGAAGGCCUUCGGGUUUUAAAGCCCUUUUGUUGGGAAAGAAAAGCAGCAGGUUAAUACCCCGCUGUUCUGACGGUACCCAAAGAAUAAGCACCGGCUAACUUCGUG
rnacentral:rRNA from 1 species